rnacentral:rRNA from 1 species
AAUCUGCCCUCAGGAGGGGGAUAACGGCUGGAAACGGCCGCUAAUACCCCAUAUGCCGCGAGGUGAAAUGAAUUUCGCCUGAGGAUGAGCUCGCGUCUGAUUAGCUAGUUGGUGGGGUAAAGGCCUACCAAGGCAUCGAUCAGUAGCUGGUCUGAGAGGAUGAUCAGCCACACUGGGACUGAGACACGGCCCAGACUCCUACGGGAGGCAGCAGUGGGGAAUUUUCCGCAAUGGGCGAAAGCCUGACGGAGCAACGCCGCGUGAGGGAUGAAGGCCUCUGGGCUGUAAACCUCUUUUAUCAAGGAAGAAGAUCUGACGGUACUUGAUGAAUAAGCCACGGCUAAUUCCGUGCCAGCAGCCGCGGUAAUACGGGAGUGGCAAGCGU